rnacentral:rRNA from 1 species
ACGCCGCGUGAGUGAUGAAGGUUUUCGGAUCGUAAAGCUCUGUUGUUAGGGAAGAACAAGUACCGAAGAAAUAGGGCGGAACCUUGACGGUACCUAACCAAAAAGCCCCGGUUAACUACUUGCCACCACCCCCGGUAAUCCUUAGGGGGCAGGCGUUGUCCGGAAUUUUGGGGCGUAAGGGGCCCCCAGGGGGUUUCUUAAUUCUGAGGUGAAAGCCCCCGGUUCACCCGGGGAGGGUCUUUGGAAACUGGGGAAUUUGAUGGCAAAAAAAGAAAGGGAAUUUCCCCGGGUACCGGGGAAAGGCUUAAAAAUGGGAAGAAACCCCAUGGGCGAAGGCGAUUUUUUGGUCUGUACUUAACCUUAAGGCCCAAAACCUUGGGAAGCAAACGGGAUUAAAUCCCCGGGAAUUCCCCCCC